GAUCUCCUCCAAACUAUAGCCCAUGUGUAAAAAACUGUACCUGCAGCAUGGUUGGACAUUCAGAGACUUGGAUCAGGGAGCAAGACAAGGAACAAAGCUGUUGGGCAAUGCAGGCAUACCCAGAGGGAGCUUAUUAACGCCUCAGUACCCUCCAAACACCUUUGUUUGAGAAAUUCUUUGUCCAUUCCAACUACUCCUCUUGCCUCCCUGAUGAGCACUGCCCUGGACUGCUUAGGCAAGUGCGUCUGAGGAGACCUCAGUUUUCAUGGAGGGGUCUAGUUUGAAACCCCAAACUUAUUUUGCUGUAGGUUCUAGGAUCUAGAGCUACCUGUUUCAUUCCCCAAGACCCUUAAAGCCUCUCUAGAGCCAGAUGGCAGACAUUAAUACCUUUCUUGGGAUUUAGAUGAUGACAUGUCAUGCUGAGGGACCCUUUCCUAUGCACAUGCCAGCUGUCACAUACAAGCAUGGUGGAGCCAGCCCUCUGGACUUUUUGCUGAGGGAAGCAGGGCUUGCCUGAGAAUGCAGCACUGAAGGCCAGCUGGCCUACCUGGCCCGGAGGUAGUGUAAAGCCACUCUGACCUCACGUUGUAUUUCUCAUUAUUCUCUCUGCCUUGGGGACAGGUCAUGCACCAGGGAUCUGAUGGGUCUGACUAUCCCACCCCCAAACACACCUUUCUCCAGUCUUCUCCCUUCUCCUAGUAAAAGUGUUAGCCCUGCUAUGUUCAUGUCUCUCCCAGUCUCCUCCUUCCUUCCCCACAAUGUACUGACCAUCCUCACCUGCGCCAAGCCUAGCUCCCCUCACUACCUGCCCAAAUCUCUUUGCAGCUCAUUACCACCGGUGUGUCCUGACAGGUUGGCAAAAUUAGCAAAAUGAAAAUGUCUUCUACCACAUUUUUCAGUUUUGCCACCAAAUUUUGACAGAGCCAAGAGCCUGGAGCUGCUUCUGCUGCCCUGCGUGCACUCAGUGACCUGGAGGGGACCUAGCCAAGUCUCUCCUUAGCAGUUCCCAAGCUAUUCUUUCUUUCAUACCGUGGUGCUCUGGGAGGACAGGGCAGCUCUUGGAGGACACUAGUCGUGAGGAAGCCUGUUGGACCACCACAGCUCACUUAACUACUCCAAUUCCAAAUUCUGUGGUUUUUAAAAUAGGCAGUAGGCUGGCAGCUGGGAUGUGAGCGCAGAGGAGGGAUUGUUUUCAGACUGAGGACGUGUGAGGAAGGAAGAGACUGAGGAUGCAGAUGGAACGUAAGAAAAUGCCAAGCAAUUAAACGGCUUUAGAUGAGUGGAGAUACAGCUCUAGAGAUUGAAGGUCGCCUGCUGGGUGGAGUGAUGGAAGGAAAGACUGCAUUCACAUGCACCAAGAUUGCAAAUCUACUCACACCCCCUCCUCCUCCGCCCCCUGUUAAAUUUGCAUUUGUUACUCGUUUUUAGACUUCCCAUGUGUAAACUUCCACACAGCUCUGUACUGCACCUUUAUGGCCCCAUCUGCUGUUUCCAUCUCCCAGAACCUCUGGUCUGUUUUGGGGGGAGAAAGCCUAUAAAAUAAAACUCAUGCAGUCACACAA